GACGAACGCUGGCGGCGUGCUUAACACAUGCAAGUCGAACGGAAAGGCCCUGCUUUUGUGGGGUGCUCGAGUUGCGAACUGGUAAGUAACACGUGAGUAACCUGUCCUUGACUUUGGGAUAACUUCAGGAAACUGGGGCUAAUACCGGAUAGGAGCUCCUGCUGCAGGGUGGGGGUUGGUAAGUUUCGGUGGUUGGGGAUGGACUCGCGGCUUAUCAGCUUGUUGGUUGGGUAGUGGCUUACCAAGGCUUUGACGCGUAGCCGGCCUGAGAGGGUGACCGGACAAGUCGGGAUUGAGCUGAGACACAGACUAGUAUGGUACGCAAGAGUGCGGAAUAUUGUAUAAGGGGAGGAGGGAUGAUGUAGUCAAGCCGUGUGGGGGAUGAGGGCAAGCGGGUAGUAUUCCGCUUUCGCCUGUGACGAAGCGUGAGUGACGGUACUGGGUGAAGAAGCACCGGCUAACUACGUG
rnacentral:rRNA from 1 species